rnacentral:rRNA from 1 species
UACGUAGGUGGCAAGCGUUGUCCGGAAUUAUUGGGCGUAAAGAGCGUGUAGGCGGCCAUGCAGGUCCGUUGUGAAAACUGGAGGCUUAACCUCCAGACGUCGAUGGAAACCGUAUGGCUAGAGUCCGGAAGAGGAGAGUGGAAUUCCUGGUGUAGCGGUGAAAUGCGCAGAUAUCAGGAAGAACACCCGUGGCGAAGGCGGCUCUCUGGGACGGUACUGACGCUGAGACGCGAAAGCGUGGGGAGCGAACAGG